rnacentral:rRNA from 1 species
UACGUAGGGGGCGAGCGUUGUCCGGAGUUACUGGGCGUAAAGCGCACGCAGGCGGUGCUGCGCGUUUGGGGUUACAGCUCCCGGCUCAACCGGGAGAGCGCCUCGAAGACGGCAGCACUUGAGGGCCAGAGAGGGACACGGAACUCCGGGUGGAGUGGUGAAAUGCGUAGAUAUCCGGAAGAACACCAAAGGCGAAGGCAGUGUCCUGGCUGGUACCUGACGCUCAGGUGCGAAAGCCAGGGGAGCGAACGGG